rnacentral:rRNA from 1 species
UGGGGAAUUUUGGACAAUGGGGGAAACCCUGAUCCAGCCAUCCCGCGUGUGCGAUGAAGGCCUUCGGGUUGUAAAGCACUUUUGGCAGGAAAGAAACGUCAUGGGUUAAUACCCCGUGAAACUGACGGUACCUGCAGAAUAAGCACCGGCUAACUACGUGCCAGCAGCCGCGGUAAUACGUAGGGUGCAAGCGUUAAUCGGAAUUACUGGGCGUAAAGCGUGCGCAGGCGGUUCGGAAAGAAAGAUGUGAAAUCCCAGAGCUCAACUUUGGAACUGCAUUUUUAACUACCGGGCUAGAGUGCGUCAGAGGGAGGUGGAAUUCCGCGUGUAGCAGUGAAAUGCGUAGAUAUGCGGAGGAACACCGAUGGCGAAGGCAGCCUCCUGGGAUAACACUGACGCUCAUGCACGAAAGCGUGGGGAGCAAACAGG